AAGCAGAUCGGCGGCCGCGGGGAGGUUCGGGGCGGCGCAGCCCCGCGCGGUUGUGGGAUCGCUCCCGGGGGCCGCUCCUCUCUCGGGCACUGGGGUCGCGGGAGACGUCGUCGGGAGCUCGGUUUCUGGAGGCCCUUCCCCACCCGGCCUCUGCCUCCUCCACUCCCCCGGGCUGGACGGAACGGGGCCCAGCGCGGGAUGCGAGAGGUAUGAUUUCGCUCUGUCGCCCAGGCUGGAGGGCAGUGGCGCAAUCUCGGCUCACUGCAGCCUCGAACUCCUAGGCUGAAGCGAUUCUCCCGCCUCAGCCUCCAAAGUAGCCGGUACUACAGGCGCGCGCCACCACGCCUGGCUAAGAAAUAACCAUGGAUAUGGGUAGAGACAGAGCCAUAUGGAAUGCACACUGCAGUGGUGAACACAUGGCCCAGCUCUGCCAUCAAGGAGAAGGAACAUGAAUGGAGCUGGAGGCCAUCAUCCUUAGUGAACUAACACAGGAGCAGAAAACCAAAUACCACAUGUUCUCAUGUGUAAGUGGGAGCUAAAUGAUGAGAACACAUGGACACAAAGAGGGGAACAACAGACACUGAAGCCUCCUUGAGGGAGGAGGGUAAGAGGAAGGAGAAGAUCAGAAAAGAUAACUACCAGGUACUAUGGUAGCUUAGUACCUGGGUGAUGAAAUAAUCUGUACACCCAACCCUCAUGACAGAAGUUUACCUGUGUAACAAACCUGCACAUGUAUCCCUGAAACUAAAAGUUUUUUAAAAAGUUAUUUAAUAUAUAUAUAUUUUUUUGAGACGGAGUUUUGCUCUUGUUGCCCAGGCUGGAGUGCGGUGGCGCAAUUUCGGCUCACCACAACCUCCGCCUCCCAGGUUCAAGCUAUUCCCCUGCCUCAGCCUCCCUAGUAGCUGGGAUUACAGGCUUGUGCCACCACGCCGGCUAAUUUUGUAUUUUUUGUAGAGACGGGGUUUCUCCAUGUUGGUCAGGCUGGUCUCGAACUCCCGACCUCAGGUGAUCCACCCCCCUCGGCCUCCCAAAGUGCUAGGAUUACAGGCAUGAGCCACUGCGCCCGGCAAAAAGUUAUUUAAUAUUAAUGGGACAAUACUCAUUGCAAGAAUCAGACUUCAAUUGCUAGCAUAAGUAAAUGACAGGCAGGAGAUAUUGAAAAUGCAAUCUUAUAGACAUUCAAGGAGAGGACGCAGGACAUUUCUGUGUCAUAAAUGUACUAUGGAAAAUAAAAAUGAGAAAAAUGGAAAUAAAAUACAAGAAAAGGUUAUGAUAAAUUUCAUAUUAUUUUACCACAAUAAAAAAAUUUUAAUAAAUUAUAAAUGGUGUGAUAUGUUUUGCCUGUGUUCCACCCAAAUCUCAUCUUGAAUUAGAGCUCCCACAAUUCCCACGUGUUGUGGCUGGGACCCUGUGGGAGAUAAUUGAAUCAUGGGGGCAGUUUACCCCAUACUGUUCUCUUGGUGGUGAAUAAGUCUCAUGAGAGUUGAUGGUUUGAUAAGGGGUUUCCCCUUUUGCUUGGCUCUCAUUCUCUCUUGACUGCCACCAUGUAAGAUGUGCCUUUUGCCUUCCACCAUGAUUGUGAAGCCUCCCAGCCACAUGGAACUGUGAGUCCAUUAAACCUUUUUCUUUACAAAUUA
rnacentral:lncRNA from 1 species